rnacentral:rRNA from 1 species
GACGAACGCUGGCGGCGUGCUUAACACAUGCAAGUCGAACGAAGAGCGAUGGACGCUUGCUUCUAUCAAUCUUAGUGGCGAACGGGUGAGUAACGCGUAAUCAACCUGCCCUUCAGAGGGGGACAACAGUUGGAAACGACUGCUAAUGCCGCAUACGAUCUGACCUCGGCAUCGAGGAUAGAUGAAAGGUGGCCUCUAUUUAUAAGCUAUCACUGAAGGAGGGGAUUGCGUCUGAUUAGCUAGUUGGAGGGGUAACGGCCCACCAAGGCGAUGAUCAGUAGCCGGUCUGAGAGGAUGAACGGCCACAUUGGGACUGAGACACGGCCCAGACUCCUACGGGAGGCAGCAGUGGGGAAUCUUCCGCAAUGGACGAAAGUCUGACGGAGCAACGCCGCGUGAGUGAUGACGGCCUUCGGGUUGUAAAGCUCUGUUAAUCGGGACGAAAGGCCUUCUUGCGAAUAGUUAGAAGGAUUGACGGUACCGGAAGAGAAAGCCACGGCUAACUACGUG